rnacentral:rRNA from 1 species
CCCGGAAGGGGAGUGAAAUAGAACCUGAAACCGUGUGCUUACAAGUAGUCAGAGCCCGUUAAUGGGUGAUGGCGUGCCUUUUGUAGAAUGAACCGGCGAGUUACGAUUUGAUGCAAGGUUAAGCAGUAAAUGUGGAGCCGUAGCGAAAGCGAGUCUGAAUAGGGCGUUUAGUAUUUGGUCGUAGACCCGAAACCAGGUGAUCUACCCUUGGUCAGGUUGAAGUUCAGGUAACACUGAAUGGAGGACCGAACCGACUUACGUUGAAAAGUGAGCGGAUGAACUGAGGGUAGCGGAGAAAUUCCAAUCGAACCUGGAGAUAGCUGGUUCUCUCCGAAAUAGCUUUAGGGCUAGCCUCAAGUGAUGAUUAUUGGAGGUAGAGCACUGUUUGGACGAGGGGCCCCUCUCGGGUUACCGAAUUCAGACAAACUCCGAAUGCCAAUUAAUUUAACUUGGGAGUCAGAACAUGGGUGAUAAGGUCCGUGUUCGAAAGGGAAACAGCCCAGACCACCAGCUAAGGUCCCAAAAUAUAUGUUAAGUGGAAAAGGAUGUGGCGUUGCCCAGACAACUAGGAUGUUGGCUUAGAAGCAGCCAUCAUUUAAAGAGUGCGUAAUAGCUCACUAGUCGAGUGACACUGCGCCGAAAAUGUACCGGGGCUAAACAUAUUACCGAAGCUGUGGAUUGUCCUUUGGACAAUGGUAGGAGAGCGUUCUAAGGGCGUUGAAGCAUGAUCGUAAGGACAUGUGGAGCGCUUAGAAGUGAGAAUGCCGGUGUGAGUAGCGAAAGACGGGUGAGAAUCCCGUCCACCGAUUGACUAAGGUUUCCAGAGGAAGGCUCG